GCCCCAGUGGCUUAAUGGAAUAGCCGCCGUUAUGAACACACUGUUUCGCGCUCCUUUAACGAGGUACCGGGUUCAAUUCCUGGCUGGGACG